GAGUAACGCGUAUGCAACCUACCCAUUGCUGGAGAAUAGGCCGAAGAAAUUCGGAUUAAUACUCCAUAAUAUCAUUUAAACUCAUGCUUUUAUGAUUAAAGUUCCGGCGGCAAUGGAUGGGCAUGCGUGACAUUAGUUUGUUGGUGAGGUAACGGCUCACCAAGACUGCGAUGUCUAGGGGGUCUUAAAGGAUGAUCCCCCACACUGGUACUGAGACACGGACCAG
rnacentral:rRNA from 1 species